GUGUCAGCCGCCGCGGUAAUACGUAGGUGGCAAGCGUUGUCCGGAAUUAUUGGGCGUAAAGGGCUCGCAGGCGGUUUCUUAAGUCUGAUGUGAAAGCCCCCGGCUCAACCGGGGAGGGUCAUUGGAAACUGGGAAACUUGAGUGCAGAAGAGGAGAGUGGAAUUCCACGUGUAGCGGUGAAAUGCGUAGAGAUGUGGAGGAACACCAGUGGCGAAGGCGACUCUCUGGUCUGUAACUGACGCUGAGGAGCGAAAGCGUGGGGAGCGAACAGGAUUAGAUACCCUGGUAGUCCACGCCGUAAACGAUGAGUGCUAAGUGUUAGGGGGUUUCCGCCCCUUAGUGCUGCAGCUAACGCAUUAAGCACUCCGCCUGGGGAGUACGGUCGCAAGACUGAAACUCAAAGGAAUUGGCGG
rnacentral:rRNA from 1 species